rnacentral:rRNA from 1 species
AUGAUGAUGGAAUUAGGCCUUCGUGAGGAGGAUCUGGAUGAUGUCGUUUUCGAUGAGAAGGAAGCGCCGCCGGAGUCACCACGGUGGGUCGCGCUGAUCAAGGUCAAUACCAACAAGAGCUACAGCCAGACGUGGUUCUAUCGGAAUAUGCGAUCUGCUUGGGAUGUGGCACGGGAAGCAAAAUUCAAGCCUUUGGAGGAGAAUCUGUAUACUGUUCAGUUUACUUGUUUGGGAGAUUGGGAGCGAGUAAUGCAGCAGGGGCCGUGGAAUUUCAGGGGGGAUGCGGUGCUUAUGGCACCAUAUGAUGGAAUCUCGAAGCCGUCUACGGUCAAGCUGGAGACCAUUGACAUAUGGAUUCAAAUCCACGACGUGCCAGAUUUAUAUGCUCAUCUAGUCAGGCCUCUGGCAGCUAGAGUGGGCGAAGUUUUGUUUGUUGAAACCCAAUCCCAUGACUUCAUAGGGAAUUUCUACCGCGUUUGGGUGCGUAUCAAUGUCCACAAACCACUAAAGAACGCGGUUUCAAUGAUCAGAGAAGGACAGAGGCAGAUUUACAAAGUCAAGUACUAG